GGGGAAUUUUGGACAAUGGGCGCAAGCCUGAUCCAGCCAUUCCGCGUGCAGGAUGAAGGCCCUCGGGUUGUAAACUGCUUUUGUACGGAACGAAACGCGCUGAGUUAAUACCUCGGCGUAAUGACGGUACCAGAGGAAGAAGCCCCGGCUAACUACGUGCCAGCAGCCGCGGUAAUACGUAGGGGGCGGGCGUUGUCCGGAGUUACUGGGCGUAAAGGGCACGCAGGCGGUCGUGUCAGUUUGGGGUUACAGCUCCCGGCUCAACUGGGAGAGCGCCUCGAAGACGGCAUGACUUGAGAGCCAGAGAGGGACACAGAAUUCCGGGUGUAGUGGUGAAAUGCGUAGAUAUCCGGAGGAAUACCAAAGGCGAAGGCAGUGUCCUGGCUGGUAUCUGACGCUGAGGUGCGAAAGCUAGGGGAGCGAAC
rnacentral:rRNA from 1 species